rnacentral:rRNA from 1 species
UACGGAGGGUGCGAGCGUUGUCCGGAAUCACUGGGCGUAAAGGGCGCGUAGGUGGCCUGUGGAAGUCUGCGGUGAAAGCCCGGCGCUCAACGCCGGGUCGGCCGUGGAUACUCUCGGGCUUGAGCUCACUAGAGGCAGAUGGAAUUCCGGGUGUAGCGGUGGAAUGCGUAGAGAUCCGGAAGAACACCGGUGGCGAAGGCGGCCUGCUGGGCAGUGGCUGACGCUGAGGCGCGACAGCGUGGGGAGCAAACAGG